UACGUAGGUGGCAAGCGUUACUCGGAAUCACUAGGCGUAAAGCGCAGGUAGGCGGUUGGAUAAGUUUCUUGUGAAAGCUCCCGGCUUAACUGGGAGAGGACAAGGAAUACUAUCUGACUAGAGUGUGGUAGGGGUAACUGGAAUUCCCGGUGUAGCGGUGAAAUGCGUAGAUAUCGGGAGGAAUACCUAUGGCGAAGGCAGGUUACUGGGCCAUCACUGACGCUGAGCUGCGAAAGCUAGGGGAGCAAACAGG
rnacentral:rRNA from 1 species